ACAAAAAGCGGGAUUCGCUUUU
rnacentral:miRNA from 1 species